GUUCUUGUGUAUAAUUCGGAGUUUAGUAUGACGUCCAUUAUCACUGUACUAUUAUGCAUAUUUUAGGGGCCAGCUGAAGGACACCUACGGGUGCGGGAAUCCUCGCUACAUUGAAGACCCAUUGGUUGCCUUCGGCUGUUGUUUGCUCUAUGGUCGGGUGGUUGUCGCUUUGACAUAUUCACCAUUUCCUUUCUCAAUUUUAUUUCUAAC
rnacentral:lncRNA from 1 species